UACGUAGGGUGCGAGCGUUAAUCGGAAUUACUGGGCGUAAAGCGUGCGCAGGCGGUUCGUUAAGUCAGACGUGAAAUUCCUGGGCUCAACCUGGGGGCUGCGUUUGAUACGUGCGGACUUGAGUGCGGAAGAGGGUCGUGGAAUUCCCAGUGUAGAGGUGAAAUUCGUAGAUAUUGGGAAGAACACCGGUGGCGAAGGCGGCGACCUGGUCCGAUACUGACGCUGAGGCGCGAAAGCGUGGGGAGCAAACAGG
rnacentral:rRNA from 1 species